rnacentral:rRNA from 1 species
GAUGAACGCUAGCGGCAGGCCUAAUACAUGCAAGUCGAACGGCGAUAGUAAUAUCAUAGUGGCGCACGGGUGCGUAACACGUAUGCAACCUACCUAUUAUUGGGGGAUAGCCUUUGGAAACGGAGAUUAAUACCGCAUAAUACGAUUGACUGGCAUCGGUUGAUUGUUAAAGCUUCGGCGAUAAUAGAUGGGCAUGCGUCCAAUUAGUUAGUUGGUGAGGUAAUGGCUCACCAAGACGAUGAUUGGUAGGGGAUCUGAGAGGAUAAUCCCCCACACUGGAACUGAGAUACGGGCCAGACUCCUACGGGAGGCAGCAGUAGGGAAUAUUGGGCAAUGGAGGGAACUCUGACCCAGCCAUGCCGCGUGCAGGAAGAAGGCGUUAUGCGUUGUAAACUGCCUUUUUAUAGGAAGAAGGAUCUCUUGCGAGAGAAGGUGACGGUACUAUAAGAAUAAGCACCGGCUAACUCCGUGCCAGCCGCCGCCGUAAGAC